UCACGGAGGUCAUAACAGCCUCACAAGUAUACAGACGGCGCUGGCGGCGCCGGUCCCACGCGGCCGGUAAAAUAAGUCGUGUUGUUAUUCCUCCGUCUUGAAUGUGCCGGUCGGUAGUGCACGCUGCUUCGAUGUUUUUGUUUGAUCGUGUGUUUUUAGGUUUGCCGUAAUGAAAUGUGGUGUAGUUCGUGUGCACUGAAAGUGCCGGAAGGUAGCCUGCGUCUCGCUGCAAACUCGCCGUAUGCGUGGCGCGCCAGGCAAAUGUGGACCAACGAUUUUCAUGCCGUGGAGUGUGUUCCCUUUGUCUUGGGUGGUCGUGAAAAGUUUUGUGGACGUCGCGAUGAAAUAAUGCGUAUUAUUAGCGUGCCUCAGCUCGUCCAUUACGCAACGGCAUGUAUGCUGGAUCAACAUCGUCGACGCAGCACUGGCAACUCGGAGAGCUCUUUUCGAUCUCAUCGUACUGUUCAAAAGUGGCGAGGCCUUGGCCCGCAACAGUGUCCACUAAAAGGAGGAGCCCCCAGAAAUGCAGACCCCAUACGAGUGCCUGCAGCAGCAUGGCUGGAUGCUCAUGUCAGGCUUCACCGUGGCAGAGUACCAGGCGGAACCAACGAGGUUAAAAGCUAGCCUUUCCUCGCUGCUUUCCAGGAAGUGAAGUAGUGGGCGAUCAUGUAAGAAUGAACUUGCAACAUGUGAGCAGUAGCCAAAGCUUCAUACAGGUCAUGCUGGUGGUAAAAACUGGAAUGCUGAGACAAACCACAUUAUUUAUUUAUUUAAGUAUUAAAUAAUUUACAUUUAUUUGUUUAUACCUCACUAAAGCCUUACAUGCCUCCAGGAAGGAAUUAGGUAAAAUGGGAAAGCAUUAUUAAAUCAAAGUAAACACGUCAUUCAAAAAAGCAUCAUUCGCAUAGCACAAGCAUGAUGUAACAUUUUUUAUUCAAGUGACGUUUCAUACAAAUCCACGAAAAUUCCAAGAAACGAAGCUAUUAAGUUAACAACUCUUACUAAAAAAAACAGUGAUAUCACCGUUCUAUUAGUUGCACCUAAUCCAUAACUAAAGUUGGCGAAAUUGACGUAUCAUAUACUGCUCUAAAAUACAAUCAUUAAUUUGUGAGUAGGACGUGCAAAAUGCUUAUAAACAUUGGAACAUUUCACGCAAGCUGUAAAUUCAUAUAUCAAAUUCCUUGACUUAAGACAUAGCUGAUCCAGUCUGCAGAACUGCGAUAUGUGUUUUUAUUGCAGAGUUGGGGAUUAUUAAACUUCAUGCUUUUACUUUUCUUUAAACCUGCCUAUUUUUAAUAAUUUUUACUUUAGGCUCUGAAUUGAAAUUCUUCCAACAACCGGUAGACCUUAACUUUCUCAAAUGCUACAAAUUUAAUUCAAAAUAGCCUUGUGGUUGUCUCAAAACCAUUUAGGAAUUUCACACGUAUUUAAGGAGGGACAUCGGAGUUGGUCCUUAGCUAAAGCUCGAGGCCAAUUCCGAUUUGCAGAACAGAAUUGUGCUUGCUAGUUUUUUUUUUUUGUGAGUUGUAGUUCUAAACAUAAGUUUUUUUUAAUUGUGCAAUUUUCAACCAUUCUUAAUAAAAAUUGGUCUAAAUGUAAAUAACACCAAUUAAAAAUGUUUUAAAUAACAAACAUCAAGUUCAGUCCUGUGGUUGCCAAGAAAAACGAUUUCACUAUUCACAUGCAUAGGAGCUCCUGAGCUAAAUCGUUUUCUUAGGUAUUGGUGUGCGUCAGUCAUGCUUGUAUUUCCCAGCAUAAUUUUGGAAUAUUGAGCCUGAUCUCAAAAUUUGCCUUAUAACAACAUUCAAGCUUAUUAAGCUUUGUACAAUAUAUGAUGCACUUCUCCAGGAGUACCACUGUUUGCUGCAUUUUUACAAGGACUGCCAGUGUUCUUUUUACACUUCAAAAUAGGCCAGAAUGCUGUGUUUUAUAAGUUUAGUGUGGUUUUGUGGAGCUGACGCAAAACAUUGCAGUGCACAUAUAUCUGUGCACAUUGAUAUGAAUCUACUUUCAGGCUUUAGUAUCCAACCGUUUAAUGUGCAUUGCUGGAACAGCAGGUCCUUCUGCAGUUUUAAUGCGAAGCUUUCUUGUCUUAGACAAGCCUGCUUUUCUCAGAUGUCAACUCCAGUCGAGUGUGCCACAAAUGUUUUCCUGUUUCGUAUGUUAGCACCACCAGCUUGAUCCGUGAAGCGCAUUGGCAGCUACAGUUUGUGUGUUGCAAGUUCUAGGCUGAAGCAUGUAUGCUGACUGUUCUAAAGUGUGUAUGUAGUAUGUAUGAUGCAUGUAUCUAGUCUGAAGUGCAAUAAACGUUUAAAACAGAUCACUUUGUGGUUGUAGUGCCAAUUAUUUUUGCCACUGCAUUUACUGUAAUCGUUAAUGCCUACAGUACAGUUCUCUAGAACCUCGGCAAAGUACAAGCACAUUACAAACAUCGACAUAGGUUUUAUAGAGAUUUGUCUUUCGGGUCUGUAAAGCAACUGCAGAGAAAUGUUCUAAAGAAAUUUGUCUUUACAAUCUUGAAAGGAACUCAAUAGAAAUGUUCUAUAGAAAUUUGUCUUUAGGAUCUUUAAAAGAACUCCGUAGAAACGUUCUGUAGAAAUUUGUCUUUACAAUCUUGAAAGGAACUCAAUAGAAAUGUUCUAUAGAAAUUUGUCUUUAGGAUCUUAAAAGGAACUCCGUAGAGAUGUUUUAUAGAAAUUCGUCUUUACAAUCUUAAAAGGAACUCCAUAGAAAUGUUCUAUAGAAAUUUGUCUUUAGGAUCUUAAAAGGAACUCCGUAGAGAUGUUCUAUAGAAAUUUGUCUUUAGGAUCUUAAAAGGAACUCCGUAGGAAUGUUCUAUAGAAUUGUGUCUUCAGAGUUCCUAUAAGAAUGCGGUGGCCAAAUAACUGUUGGAACUCUAUAGGAAAAUUCUAUAAGCAGUCAAAAUAAACACAAUAGAAUUCUAUCGAACAAGUUCAAAAGACUCUCUAAAAAAACACAUUAAAAAUUUUUG